rnacentral:rRNA from 1 species
UACGGAGGGUGCAAGCGUUAUCCGGAUUCACUGGGUUUAAAGGGUGCGUAGGCGGAUUGGUAAGUCCGUGGUGAAAUCUCCGAGCUUAACUCGGAAACUGCCAUGGAUACUAUUAGUCUUGAAUAUUGUGGAGGUUAGCGGAAUAUGUCAUGUAGCGGUGAAAUGCAUAGAUAUGACAUAGAACACCAAUGGCGAAGGCAGCUGGCUGGACAAAUAUUGACGCUGAGGCACGAAAGCGUGGGGAGCAAACAGG